rnacentral:rRNA from 1 species
UGGGGAAUAUUGGACAAUGGGCGAAAGCCUGAUCCAGCCAUGCCGCGUGUGUGAAGAAGGUCUUCGGAUUGUAAAGCACUUUAAAGUUGGGAGGAAGGGCAGUAAGCUAAUACCUUGCUGUUUUGACGUUACCGACAGAAUAAGCACCGGCUAACUUCGUGCCAGCAGCCGCGGUAAUACGAAGGGUGCAAGCGUUAAUCGGAAUUACUGGGCGUAAAAGCGCGCGUAGGUGGUUCGUUAAGUUGGAUGUGAAAGCCCCGGGCUCAACCUGGGAACUGCAUCCAAAACUGGCGAGCUAGAGUACGGUAGAGGGUGGUGGAAUUUCCUGUGUAGCGGUGAAAUGCGUAGAUAUAGGAAGGAACACCAGUGGCGAAGGCGACCACCUGGACUGAUACUGACACUGAGGUGCGAAAAGCGUGGGGAGCAAAACAGGAAUUAGAUACCCUGGUAAGUCCACGCCGUAAAAACGAUGUCAAACUAGCCGUUGGGUUCCUUGAGAGCUUAGUGGCGCAGCUAACGCAUUAAAGUUGACCGCCUGGGGGAGUACGGCCGCAAGGUUAAAAACUCAAAAGGAAUUGACGGGGGUCAUAGCUGUUU